GACGAACGCUGGCGGCGUGCUUAACACAUGCAAGUCGAGCGGAGCGGCGAACGGGUGAGUAACGCGUGAGUAACUGCCCCCCUCUCUGGGAUAACAGUUGGAAACGGCUGCUAAUACCGGAUAGUGGGGGAUGACUCGCGUCCUAUCAGCUUGUUGGUGGGGUAGUGGCCUACCAAGGCGACGACGGGUAGCCGGCCGGAGAGGGCGACCGGCCACAUUGGACUGAGAUACGGCCCAAACUCCUACGGGAGGCAGCAGUGGGGAAUAUUGCGCAAGGGGGGCAACCCUGACGCAGCCAUGCCGCGUGAAUGAAGAAGGCCUUCGGGUUGUAAAGUUCUUUCGGUAGCGAGGGUUUAAUAGACUAGGUGAUUGACGUUAACUACAGAAGAAGCACCGGCUAACUCCGUGCCAGCAGCCGCGGUAAUUC
rnacentral:rRNA from 1 species